GCCAGGCGCGGUGGCACAUGCCUGUAAUCCCAGCAACUUGGGAGGCUGAAACAGGAGGAUGGAAAGUUCAAACCCAGCCUCAACAAUUCAGCAAGGCCUAAGCAACCUAGCAAGAUCCUGUCUCUA
rnacentral:sRNA from 1 species